AGUUGGAAUGCUUUUCUGAUAGGAAAUAUAUAGUUUUGAUCAGAUAUUUUUAAAUUAAAAUACUUUUGUAUUUUUUAAGUAAAAAAUAUACGAAAUUUAUGUGAGCUGUAGAUCAUUUAGAUUUACUAUUCAAUUUUUCAGUAUUUUGGUUUUACCAUCAAACAUUUUAUUUCAUUUGAUUUGAAUUAGUCAACUGUAUUUUGACUCUAGAAUUUAAACUAAUUAUUUACUUUAAUAAAUUUAUAGUGUUGAGAACUAUAUAAUAUUUUUUAAGUAAAAUUAUGAAGAUAAAUGAUACAUUCAAAUUUUAAAAUUAAAGUAUUAAUUAUUGAUUCAAAUAAAAUAAAUUAAAAAUUAGAGAGGAAAAUUAAAAUUUUUAAAAAUUAAAAAAUUCAAUAAAU
rnacentral:lncRNA from 1 species